CGGAACGGGUGAGUAAUACAUAAGUAACCUGCCCUAGACAGGGGGAGUAACUAUUGGAAACGAUAGCUAAGACCGCAUAGGUACGGACACUGCAUGGUGACCGUAUUAAAAGUGCCUCAAAGCACUGGUAGAGGAUGGACUUAUGGCGCAUUAGCUGGUUGGCGGGGUAACGGCCCACCAAGGCGACGAUGCGUAGCCGACCUGAGAGGGUGACCGGCCACACUGGGACUGAGACACGGCCCAGACUCCUACGGGAGGCAGCAUGG
rnacentral:rRNA from 1 species